rnacentral:rRNA from 1 species
UGGGGAAUAUUGCACAAUGGGCGAAAGCCUGAUGCAGCAACGCCGCGUGAGUGAUGAAGGCCUUCGGGUUGUAAAGCUCUGUCUUUUGGGACGAUAAUGACGGUACCAAAGGAGGAAGCCACGGCUAACUACGUGCCAGCAGCCGCGGUAAUACGUAGGUGGCAAGCGUUGUCCGGAUUUACUGGGCGUAAAGGAUGCGUAGGCGGAUUUUUAAGUGAGAUGUGAAAACCCUAAGCUUAACUUGGGGACUGCAUUUCAUACUGGAAAUCUAGAGUGCGGGAGAGGAGAAUGGAAUUCCUAGUGUAGCGGUGAAAUGCGUAGAGAUUAGGAAGAACACCAGUGGCGAAGGCGAUUCUCUGGACCGUAACUGACGCUGAGGCAUGAAAGCGUGGGUAGCAAAACAGGAUUAGAUACCCUGGUAGUCCACGCCGUAAACGAUGAGUACUAGGUGUAGGAGGUAUCGACCCCUUCUGUGCCGCAGUUAACACAAUAAGUACUCCGCCUGGGAAGUACGAUCGCAAGAUUAAAACUCAAAUGAAUUGACGGGGUCAUAGCUG